GCCUAAAAGCUGAAACACGUACACCAAUGGUGACCAUGUGGUAUGAGUACAAUAGCAGAACCAGACACAAUGUCUUUGAAUCACUGACAAGUCAUUUCAGAGGGGUAGGCAACCAAUGGGCAGAGAAGGGAAACAGAACCCCGGCAGUGGGUAGGCCUCUCUCAUGGAACAUGUUGGAACUACUGAUUGGGCACACCGUUCUCGGAGAUUCUUGGACAAAUUCUGUUGUACAGGGUCUGAAAUUCAGCCCAUUCCCACCCAGAAAGCAAGGAGAUAUAAUCAAAGAAUUCAGGACCUGAUCAAACUCCUACCCCACUUUGAAGACAUCAUCCAGUUAUCCUAGUUAUCCAACCACCAGAAGGAAAGAAUAGUGAAAAGACUAAAGCUUCACAGACUUGUAUGGAAGAAAUGUUAACAGCAGAGGGGUGAAAUCUGUAUGGUGAACAUCCGAGUGGGUACAGAAUAAAGUGUCAAGGGCUGGUCUCUUGGUGCAUGGUC